rnacentral:rRNA from 1 species
UACGUAGGGGGCUAGCGUUGUUCGGAUUCAUUGGGCGUAAAGGGUGCGUAGGCGGCGCGGUAAGUCGGGUGUGAAAUCUCAGAGCUCAACUCUGAAACUGCACUCGAUACUGCUUUGCUCGAGGACUGGAGAGGAGAUUGGAAUUCACGGUGUAGCAGUGAAAUGCGUAGAUAUCGUGAGGAAGACCAGUGGCGAAGGCGGAUCUCUGGACAGUUCCUGACGCUGAGGCGCGAAGGCCAGGGGAGCAAACGGG